UAAUAAUUAAUAAUUUAAAUACGUGUUUUGAGGUACAUAAAUAUUGGGGUUAUUACAACACAACAACAAAUUUAAAAAGUGUCAUGCUUGUCCUUCGUGGAAUUCAAAAUACAAAUUCCUUUAUUUUACUGGGCAGCCUUCUUGUGUGCCUUCUAUUAACAAUUCAAAUCAAACAAAUUUAUAUAAACAAUCAAAAGUAUAAACGUUAUUUAGGAUACGAACAAUAUAUCAGUGAAAUAUCGAAAGAAUUGAAAACUAUUGAAAAAAAUGCCAAUAAAUCUUCAACAUAUGUUCAUCACUUAAAUGAGAUACUUUACAAACAUCGUGAAAGAGAUACAAAAAAUGCUUCGUUGUCACGAAUAGCAAAAUUAUUGCGAGGAGAAACAAACUAAAACAAGGAUACACAGCGAUGUAUUAAGUAUUUUUUA
rnacentral:misc_RNA from 1 species